rnacentral:rRNA from 1 species
AUUGAACGCUGGCGGCAUGCCUUACACAUGCAAGUCGAACGGCAGCGCGGGGGCAACCCUGGUGGCGAGUGGCGAACGGGUGCGUAAUGCAUCGGAACGUGCCCAGUAGUGGGGGAUAACCAGUCGAAAGACUGGCUAAUACCGCAUACGACCCAAGGGUGAAAGCGGGGGACCGUAAGGCCUCGCGCUAUUGGAGCGGCCGAUGUCUGAUUAGCUAGUGUGCGGGGUAAGAGCCCACCAAGGCGACGACCAAUAGCUGGUCGGAGAGGACGACCAGCCACACUGGGACUGAGACACGGCCCAGACUCGUACGGGAGGCAGCAGUGGGGAAUUUUGGACAAUGGGCGCAAGCCUGAUCCAGCCAUGCCGCGUGCGGGAAGAAGGCCUUCGGGUUGUAAACCGCUUUUGGCAGGAACGAAACGGCGCAGGCCAAUACCUUGCGCUAAUGACGGUACCUGCAGAAUAAGCACCGGCUAACUACGUGCCAGCAGCCGCCGUAAAAC